rnacentral:lncRNA from 1 species
AUGCUGCUCACCCCCACUCGCCACCUACCCAUCCUGCUUUGGGCAAUCCUGGAGCUCGUGGCGGCGCCGAAUGAUGCACGGUGCCCCACUAGGCACUGCCGAUCGAUGGGCCAUCCUCCGUAUGCGAAGCCCCCACCCCGCCGCGCGGUGGCCCCAGCUGCACCCGACAACGCCCCGGACAGCCCUUCAGUCUUCCCUGAGAGAGCCAGAGACUUCUUACCAAGGAAUCAGCAGAUGAUAAAUCUAACAAGCUUCUGCCUCCAUCUCUUGAAGACAGUCUCCCUCAAGUCUUCUGGCCUCCUGGCUAAACAUUCCCAGCUCCUUCAUUUGCUUGUCGUCAAGAUGAUUUCAAGUUUUACCUCCAUCCUGAAGGACUAGCUUGGCAUCAUUUCCAAAAUGCAGUGCUGAAUGAGAACUGAACCACCAUAUCCCAGAUGGGACUUGAUGAAAGUCUGAUUAUCUUAUCUUUUAUCAGAAAACAUAGAUCUGGAAGGAACCCUGUAGGGCAUCUAGUCUCCCCUACCCCCAUUAUACGGGUAAGAAAAGAUUUGCUCAGUCACACCAGUAGUAAGGAGCAGAGCUGAGAUUCAAAUACAGAUCUUUUGACUCCAGUGUGUCCCUUAUUUUAUGAUAUAGAAGUAACCAUGUAAACAAAGCAAAAUUAUCAAUAAAGGCUUGCUUUCCCCAUGGCCUAAAUCUGGG